CAUGCAAGUCGAACGCGAAAGGGGCUUCGGCCCUGAGUAGAGUGGCGAACGGGUGAGUAACACGUGGGUGAUCUACCUUCGAGUGGGGGAUAACGUCCCGAAAGGGACGCUAAUACCGCAUGACGUUCUGGGUUUGAAGACCUGGAAACCAAAGCUGGGGACCGCAAGGCCUGGCGCUAGAAGAGGAGCCCGCGCCUGAUUAGCUAGUUGGCGGGGUAACGGCCCACCAAGGCGACGAUCAGUAGCCGGCCUGAGAGGGCGGACGGCCACACUGGGACUGAGACACGGCCCAGACUCCUACGGGAGGCAGCAGUGGGGAAUUGUUCGCAAUGGGCGCAAGCCUGACGACGCAACGCCGCGUGGAGGAUGAAGGCCUUCGGGUCGUAAACUCCUGUUGAUCGGGAAGAAUGGGCUCCGGGUAAAUAUCCCGGAGCAGUGACGGUACCGAUUGAGGAAGCCACGGCUAACUCUGUGCCAGCAGCCGCGGUAAUACAGAGGUGGCAAGCGUUGUUCGGAAUUACUGGGCGUAAAGGGCGCGUAGGUGGCCUUCUUAGUCAGACGUGAAAUCCCCAGGCUUAACCUGGGAACUGCGUCUGAUACUGGAAGGCUCGAGUUCGGGAGAGGAAUGUGGAAUUCCAGGUGUAGCGGUGAAAUGCGUAGAUAUCUGGAGGAACACCGGUGGCGAANGCGGCAUUCUGGACCGAAACUGACGCUGA
rnacentral:rRNA from 1 species